rnacentral:lncRNA from 1 species
UAUUAUUUCUCAUCUGUCAGAAAAUACAAGGGUUUUAUUUUUAAUACCAUCUACUGUUUGAGGCUUAGAGCAAUGUGUGCAACUGUUGGAGAAAAGUAAACUCUUCUAUGCAUAAUAUAAUAGAGCUUCAUCAGGCAGCACUCCCAAGCCAAACUUUUCUAAACUCUACCCAAAUAAUAACGACUCUGCCAUCAGUCAUGGACUCACGCAAAUUCGCGACUCUGCCCAUCACCUCAUAACAUUUCUAAACUCUACCCAAAUAAUAACAAGUCAAAAAUUUGCAACAGCAGUCAUGGACUCACGCAAAUUCGCGAGCUGGAAACAAGUAGAAGAAGAGAAGAAACAAGUAAAAGAGAAGAAUACCUGUCAGUCGUCGGCUCGUCGCUGGAGCAGUCACCGGACUCGCGAACUGGAGCAGUCACCGAACUCGCUCGCUGGAGUCACCGAGUCAGUCGAGAAGAGUAGAAGGAAAAGGAACGAGCAACAGGUCGUAUUCUCUUUCGGACAGCCACGAUUCACGAACUAGGUAAGCUCUAUCGUUUCUCGUUUCUCCCUAUCGUGUCUCGUCGAAGUCUAUCGUGUCUCGUCGAAGUCGUCGAACUGUCGAAGGUCUGAAGGUUGUGAGGAAAUUGAUCGAUUAGGAGUUUAAGUUUAUAAAUUGGUUCGGGUCAAACCCGCUUCAAAAAGUCGCCCGAUUUUCCAGUUAGUCGUCCUAGUCGUCCGGUAAGCGUCCAAGUCGUCCACGUCGACGCCUGAGCGGUCGACUAUGUGCUAUGUUACCAAGUCGUCCUACCGACUUGAAUUUUCUGGUCGACUCGAGGCGACGACUAGUCGACGACUUGACAACCAUGCAUCUCAUUGAGUAGAAAAACUGGUGAAUUCAAAUUUAUAGAGAGAUCUAACUAGCAAAGUAAUCCACAAGUCGGAUCUGAACUAGAAGAUCACCUGAUUUAGUUGUUCCAUCAAUGAACCCAUCCUUCUUGAUUCUCUCCAAAAAGUUUUUACCCAAACGACUGUCCAAGCCUCUCUGCAGAUGAUAGCAGGCAGAAAGAUUGACAACCGUGUGAACAUCAUGAUAUUUAGAUGCAUAAAGAAGUACCACAUUCCCUCCUGCAAGGAUCACACUAAGAAAUAUAAGACUUUGCAGAUAAUAUAUGUCAUUAAAAACUAAUUGGUUUUCCAACUUAAUUUCAAGAUGUACUUGUCAAACAAAAUUAUAAACUGGCAAAGCUAAUAACAAAAGGCCAACAGUAAGUCCAUUCAAAAAGAAAGUUUCCCAUCCACCUCUUAAAUACUUGUGUAAUCAAGAAUCAAGAUAACUACAUUUUACUAUUUUGUGCAGUUACCUUAUUCUACAACCCGAACAUAAAAAUAUAUGCGGGCACUUAUGAUUAAGAUUAAGAUAAAGAUAAAGGUGGGUUUGAUUUUGGAAACUGCCUGUGGAAUUGUGGAUAGGAUUUAUAUAUAAACCUAACAUAUGGGGGUUCUAAACCUGAUAAGAAUUGGAUAAAUACCGGUAGUCUAAACAUGGAUUUUAAUCAGUAAAGAAGACAUACAAAUACAAAGUGAAAAAGAGUAAAAGCUAAACAUAUAUAAAGGCAGGAUGCUGCCCCAUCAAAUCCUGAUACAAUCUCAUGUAUAUUAGUUAUGUGAGAACUGAAUUUUCCUUUCUUAAUUAUGGAUAACUUUUUAUUAUAGUAUUAGAUCACAUACCUUUACUAUGCCCAAGAAUUGCAGUUACUACACGGUUCUUUCCAUUAAAAUGUUCAAUUACAGCUCGCAAAUCUUCAUCCUGUCUCCAAUAAUUACCAUACUCAAAUGAGCCUUCACUUUCCCUGGAAAGCAAAUGUCUUAAUAAACAACAAAGUAACUAAAACUUGCAAUUUAAAUAUGAUCUCAACUCUCAAGACUGACAUUUGGAGCAAUAGCAAAUACGAUAAAAAAAUUACACCAAAUUUGCUGCAAUGGAAAAGAAUAAUGUGCAUGCUACAAUGCAAAAUGCAAAGAAAUAAUCCGUGCGCUAUGGUGCAGACAGCAACAAGUUUAAAUGGAAUUCAUAAUUAUAUAUGGUAUAUCAUAAUCACAUAUAUGGUACAACUCAUAUCAGCAUUGUACUUUUGGACCCAAUUUUACUACCUCCAUACCAUUGAACUAUACGCUUAGAACACUUUCCAAAAAUAAUUAUACAACAGUUGUGCUUAGGUGUGUACUCUAAACCAACCAGAAAUAUCAUUUUUGUUAUCCAUACAAUACCAUAAACUUACCCAUUUCCAGCAAAAUCAAAGCGGAACACCCUAAUCCCUUCCUUUUCUAAAGCAACAACAAGGCUCACCAAAACAUUGUAUUCCUGAAAAUAGACGUGCAUUAUUUACUUAAUAAUUUAGGGUUAAAGAAAAUUAUUACUAUUAGAAGAGAUAAAGUUCAAAAGAAGAGCGAUUAGGCAAAUCGUAGAGGUAAAAGUAGAACAAAACAUUGAACAAAAAUAAAUAAUAAUAAUAAAAAACGGGUGCAGCUAUACAAUCCCUAUGCAAGUCCAAAAUCAUAAGACUACAAUAGGCUCCUAUAACAGAAGACCACAGUCAGGCAGGCAAUCAACAUAACUUUCUCUCUCAAAAGAUGAAAUUUCGAAGACCACAGUCAGGCUAAUAAACUUCUUUCUCGAAAAUUUCGAGUUACGCCACAGCGUUUAUUUGAGGAGAGAUGAAAUCUCUAAUAAAAGUUUUUUGAGAAAAAGACUUAAAAACACUAUUUUCUUUUCGUUUUUUCGAAUUUUCAAAUUAUGACAGCGUUUAUUCGGGAAAUGGGGUAAAAAGUGAAAUAAAUUUUUUUACGAAAGGUGAAAGUCGGUUUUUUAACCGAAAAAAGUUAAAAAACCUAACUAGAAAAGAAAAUGACUAAUUAAAUUUAGUUGAACUAAUUAAGCCUAGGAUUUUAAAGGCUUGGUUAGUUGGUUAGGGUUUGGAUGGCUCAGCUAGGCUUGAGCCGAGGGUUGAGUCAAGGUUGAGCCUAGGGUUGGUGUGACUUGGCUAGAGUUGGAGCUAAGGCUCAAACUUAGGGUUACUUGGAGUCAAAGCAAGUGGAGGGACAUGUGUCACUUAAUAGCAAUUAAGCAUGUGGGAGAAAUGAAAAAUAAAAAGGGAUGAGCAAUGGGGAAGAACCGGGCAUAAAGGAGGAGGGGACCAAGAGGGGACAAAGGGGAUGGAAACUUACCAUUUAUAAUAAGUUUUAGUCUUAGAAAACAAAGCAUUAAAUGCUUGUCUACCCUUUAACUUCUCUUAACCCCUAAGUCUUUAGUAAGUCAUCAUCUCUUUUCAUUUCAUUUCCUUUGUUGCUAAGUAAAAGAAGCUCAAGAGAACCCACGAAUUGGAGAAGGAGGAAGGUGAAAGGAGAAGAAGAAGUCUAGCAAGCUUGAAUAAUCUAGCUAAGAAGAAGAGUAAAGAAGGUAAACAUCACACCCUAACCCUUUUAUUCAUCCAUUCUUUUCUUUUUAAGCUUAUAAAUUGCUUUGUUGGUGGUUGUUGGUUUAUGAAAGAUCGUGAAGGAUCUUGGAGUUAUAAAGGAGUGGUUAUAAUGUUUAUAACUGUAAACUACCGGUAAAUGCCAUGAAAAGUGGAACAAAAUAACAAAAACACAAAACCUAUGCGUAAAGGAUAGAAAAAUUCAAUUAGUGGACUGUUUUGGACGAAUUUUGUGUGGUGUCCCAAAUCUGAAAAUUUAGUUAUAGGGUGUUGUAUUAUGCUCUUAUGAGUAAAGAUCAUCACCCAAUUGGAAUGAAGGCAACAGCUUUUGUAACGAAGUAAUGGCGAUUUUUUUUAAAACUAGUCGGAAAAAGCUAAAAACAGUGUGAACACUGACUUUUGGGACGUUUUUCUGAGUCGUCGGAGUUUCUGGAAAUAUUUUCUUUUCUGGGGAUUGUGUAGUACGUAGAACAAUGAAUCUGUAGGCUCAAGAACGAGUUCAAUCCUACUUCGGAUAAGUGAGUUACGAAAAUUUGAAGGUUUGACGUUAAAAAUGUCAUUUAGUGAAGAAAAACAGACUCACGAAUUCGUGAUUUUUGAGCUAAUUUUUCGGCUAGUUAGAGAAUCAAAAAAAUGAUUCCGUCAAAGGAAAGUUGUAGAGAAUGUUACGAGCUUGAAUAUGGCUCAAGAAUGGACUCAUUCCGAUAACGGAUGGCCGAAUUAUGACGUUGCAAAGUAGGUACGAUGAACACGAAAAAUUGUUGUUCCUGACCUCAGGUGCAAUAGGUUUGUGCACCUAAAGCAGACACGUCAAGAACAGUAUGUUUUGGUCUAAAGCAGACACCCCAAGCAAAUGAGUUAUGUUGUCUGCUUUACACCUGUAGCGAAAGAUGUUAAAGAAAAUUUAGUCGCAUUGAUUAAAUCAUAAAAUGCGAACAUGAAAUAAGAAGUAAAGUGAAUGUAAACCGUAAUUAUCAUCUUUGCAUGACUAAUUGAUACGUGUAUAUGAAUUUAAAUAUGUAGGAUAUUUGAAGGACGAGUAAAGUAGACGUAUAACGAGCGCUUAAGGCAAGUUUUCUAACUCCAUUCAAAAUGCAAGUUUCCUAACUUGUGCAAAUUUAUUUUAUAUUUGUGCAAGUUUCUUAUGUUAUGCAAGUAUCUUAACUCCAUUCAAUUUUGUACAUUGAAUGUUAGUUACCUUUAAUCUUGUGCAAUAUUUUGUGUACAAGCUUCGAUGUUCGUUUGAUUAUGCUAAUUUGACUAUGUUCAUAUGACCAUUUCGUAUGUGUGAUUCGUAUGUUUGAUUUUGAUUAUGCAAUACUUAUAUAUUGUGUGAAUCUCUAACUUAUGCAAAUCUUUUAGUAUUUGUCUAAGUUGUUCAAGCUUUGCUAUAAUGCAUGUUGAUGAAGUUUUUAUGUUCUAAUAUUCAUGAACUAUUUAGAAGAAUGUCAAUGCCAAUUGUAACGGCUUGACGCGCAUGUAAAAUUCUUUGUUGAUUUGAAAAUAAAUAUCUUAGAAGUAUUAUUGAUGUUAGGUAAAGCUAUCCAUCCUAAAUUGUUUCGGUGCGGAUUCAGAUUCAAAUCUGAGAUGAACAACCCUAUAUUAGGUAUUUUACGUGGAAAAAUCCCGACAAACCCCUGAGGUAGUUAAACAAAUGCAUAUAGUCAUUUUAUGUACAAUGAGUUGAUCACCUAAAGUACCCAGAUGAAAACUAAUCGGUUUAUAGUUGAACUACUAUUAAACCAAUUAACCAGAUGAAAAAGUUCGUGACCGCUCAUUAUGUCGUUUCAAAAAAAUUUGUUUAACGAGAAGCUUUGUUAUUCAAGAUGAUUUGAAGUGCCUUCAUAACUAUUGAUCAGUUGUUGAAGUUUGAAGUAUAAAAGAUGUUUGAUUCUUGAUGUUGAUGUUGUUAUUCAUUGUGAAUACUUACUGAGCAAUUGAAUGCUUACCCUUGCUUGAAAUAAAUUCUUUUCAGUAGAGCCAAAGAGACCCAGAGAUUCGGGUAAGGAAAAAAGAAAGCAGAAGAUGAAUGAGUAGACGAAUAUUACUGUUUGUAAUAAUUAGAAGGAUUGUAUUAAUAUUCUAUACAAUAUCAUGUAUUAAAGAUUUAAGGUCUGAGA